UGGCCAUCGGCGCAGAGAGUGUCAGUCGGAGAGACGACGUUUUCAAGGCGCCGCCAUUUUUUUCCUGCUGUCCAGAGGCAUGAAGGACGUAACUUUCCGGCUAGACGAAGAUGGACUUCCCACAUCAAGAUGUACAUUCCAGUCCCUCACAAACUGGGAUGUCCUGGAAAUGUUCGCUACACGCAAACAUACUUAUGCCCUCACACCUGUAAAAAGAUCCAAGCUAAGGAGACUCCUAUGGCGGAGCUCCGUCACGUCGCGCUGUACAAAUAGAGAGCAGUGAAUCCAGCGACGAGGAGACACCUCUGGCGCAGCUUCGCCAUCCCAGAAGUGGCCCACGAUGUGGGUUCGCCAUCGCAUCGGCACUAUAGACAGGUCACGAGGACCCAUGCAGCUCCAGCGAAGACUUCGGUGAAGACGACAUGCCGUUGGCACACCUUGCAUAUAGGGAAGGAGGCACCUGUUACAAAAUGCCAUGUUUAGAUUUAUCAGUAUAUGUGCACUAGGGUUAUUAAGACCACUGUCACUGAUUUCUGCAAUAGAGCAUACUUAUAUCACAUUGGAAGUGCAAUUUGAUGCCUCAAGUUCCAUUGAAAGUUGUUUUUUGCGUAGACAGAAAGUGUCUCAUGUGGGGUGGGGUGGGGGGCGGUUAGUACAAAAUGCCAAUUUCAAGUUCAGCUAUCUCUGUUUCUGUGUACAAUAGGCUUAUUAUUGCUAUAGAUUAAUGAAAUAUAGCAUA